rnacentral:lncRNA from 1 species
GGUGCACUGCCGCAGCCUUGUCUUCUCAAGACAUUGCCGGCUUCAAACUUGCAUCACGAUCGCACCAAAGCCUAGUUACUUUCGAUCUUACCAUCAGAAUGACAUCAAGAAGAUACUCUUCAGAUGUCAUACAAUCUAGGAUUUGAUUUUUGUCUCCAACACAUGGAAAAACUAAAUCCUAGGGUACUAAAGCAACACUUGCUGAAAAUCUCACCACCCUUGUAGCAACUUUUGCCACUCAAAAUUCUCUCUUUUUUUCUUAAAAUUUUUUCAAAAUUUUUCUUAUGUUUACACAUCCCUCCUCUUAGUUUCAACUAAAAAUUAUCGAGGGGCAUCCCCUAUAAAUAGGGGCCAGGGGACCUCUCAUGGGAUGAAGGGGGGUGCCAACCUUUGGCGCUCCAACUUUCCACGCACCAACUAAAUUCAUCGAGUAAAUUUUUGGUGAUCCAAUUAUUUGGAGUAGAAGGACUCUUAGUUUUCUAUAUGUCAUAAAAAAUUUAAUAAAUUUUGAUAACAAAACAUAGGGUUUCUGGUCAGAAAUUCAAGGCAACGUGUGUUAGUUAAGAGCCUUCUUUAAGAAGGACUCUUUACUUCACACGCCAAAAAAA